CCUACGGGAGGCAGCAGUGAGGAAUAUUGGUCAAUGGGCGGGAGCCUGAACCAGCCAAGUAGCGUGAAGGAUGACUGCCCUAUGGGUUGUAAACUUCUUUUAUAUGGGAAUAAAGUGUUCCACGUGUGGGGUUUUGUAUGUACCUUAUGAAUAAGCAUCGGCUAACUCCGUGCCAGCAGCCGCGGUAAUACGGAGGAUGCGAGCGUUAUCCGGAUUUAUUGGGUUUAAAGGGUGCGUAGGCGGAAUGCUAAGUCAGCGGUAAAAUCGCGGGGCUCAACCUCGCUCCGCCGUUGAAACUGGCGGGCUUGAGUGGGCGAGGAGUACGUGGAAUGCGUGGUGUAGCGGUGAAAUGCAUAGAUAUCACGCAGAACUCCGAGUGCGAAGGCAGUAUACCGGCGCCAAACUGACGCUGAGGCUCGAAAGCGUGGGUAUCGAACAGGAUUAGAUACCCGGGUAGUC
rnacentral:rRNA from 1 species